CUACCUACCUAUCUCUUGAUAUUCAUCAAUGUUCUACAUAUAUUUUGUUAUAUCUAUGAUAUGUAUACAUAUAUAUACAUAUAUAUGUUUAAUAUACAUAGUAUAUAAUUAAAGGUUGCAUCUAUCAUUUAGAGUGUAUAUUAUAUGUGUUAUAUAUUAUAUUAUUAUAUUUACGUAUAUUUAAAAUGUGUGUAUGUGUUUGGAGCUACAGCUGCUGUUUUAUCUAUGGUUCUUCUCUGCAGAACUGAGAAACUGAGUUAUCAGGUACAUCUAACAAAUCAGGAUAUGCUCUUUUGUGAGUUAGUGUUUACCCAUUUUAUCACUUUAAUUUGCGAUUAAGUUUAUGAAAGGUCAGUUGAAGAAUGUUUGUUGUGAGUCUUGGCAUACAUAGUCCUCAUGAUAUGUUUUAUCUGCAUCUAUAUAAUUUUAUCUCUAUAAACUAUAACUAUAUCAUCUAUCUCUAUAUAUGAGAUAUAUACAUAUAUAUGUGUAUAUAUUAGAAAUAGUUAUUGUCCUUGUUCUCCAUCCAGUGCUAUAAAUUUGUUUUUUAGCUCUGAAAGGCUAUUAUGUAAAAUCCCAUAUCAAUAAAUCAGACUUUGGUUAGAAUUGCAGUAGUUGUGGUGGCAGUGGUACUCUAGACAGAGAGGGAAAAAUAAUUUCUUGAAUAGAAAAUAACUCCCAGAAGGAUGAAUCCCUGUCCUUUUCAGGAUGGAUGUGUUCUAAAAUAAUUUUGUGGUACUGCGUAUUGACUUUAUUAAAGAAUAGCAACACAUUGAGUGUUUAGCUGCUGGCAGUUUGGCAAUUAACAGCAGCAAGAGCUAGACUAGCAUCAGUGAAAAGGACAACAUGCAGUGAAUUCUGUGUAGCUGCUAUUCCUACCACUAUGUCCCCUCUGUUUGUAGAACUGUGAUUUAAUUAUUGUAUUAGCCAAGGAUAGAGACUAGCUAAUAUCUUCAGGGAAAAAUCUGUCUAGUAGUAGAUUGAGUGGUUCUUCUGAAUUUAUUAUUCUCUGUUGGCAUUGAAGUAAUGUAUGCAUGCUUUCUUCCAGUUAGAUAGGUCCAUCUAUAUACUUCUUUUCCAAACAUCUUUGUUCCUAAUCCUUUAAUCUUCAUCUUUUCAGCUUCCAACAAACCCACCAUGCCAUUUGACACUGCCUUCAAGUCUGUGUAUGUCUAUACUUCAAGCAACUUCUCUCUGUAUACAAAUAACAUCUGUGAAAAAGUGAAAUGGCAGCUGUCAGAAUCCAAAAGGCAAUCUCUUACUCCAGGAACACAGAGAGCCCUCUAUAUGCCCUGACAAAACAUGUCUCUUGAGGUUGUGCUGGUUCCAGUUGGAAGUGAACUUCUAGAGCAAUCCAGCUGCUCUCUGCAGUGGCACUGAAAGAAGAGUAGAGUAACUUAAAAAUCUUCCUAGUGGGGAGAACUUUGUCAAUGAUAUCCAAAUGACCACUUUCCCUGGAAGAAGCGUUACUGUAGGUAAAGCAGAGAUAUCUUGAUAGAAAUCCGACAGACAAGCAGUUGAGUCAUUCUGUGAUCUUCAUAGAUAUUCCUCAAGCUUCACCAGAACUUCCUGCCCUGGAUCUCCUUGUGCCUCUACUGAAUCUGUAUUUCCUUUGUUGUCAGAACACCUGGCCCUGUUUGUCUCAGACUAACAUCUCAUGCAAUUUAGGAAUGGAAUUCUGACACUGGUCUGUAUACAACCCAAAUUAAAUAAAUAAGCAUGGAAUUUUGGUCUCAGAAAUCAA